CCCCCCCGCCGUGGCUGUGCGUGCACGUACGUCCCUGUCCGUGUGUCCCCAUGUCUGUGUGUCCGUGCGUCCCCCGUGGCCGUGCGUGCACGUACGUCCCUAUCAUGUCCCUGUCAUGUGUCCGUGUGUCCUCACGUCUGUGUGUCCUCACGUCUGUGUGUCCAUGUGUAUGUUUGUCCCCACGUCUGUGUGUCCGUGUGUCCCUAUGUCUGUGUGUCCCCAUGUCCCCAUGUCCAUGUGUCCUAGCGUCCAUAAGGCCGAUGUCCCCAUGUCCGUGUGUCCCUGUGUGUCCAUAUCUGUGUAUCCAUAUGUCCGUUUGUUCCCAUGUCCGUGUGUCCUCGUGUCUGUGUGUCCCCGUGUCUGUGUGUCCUCGUGUCUGUGUGUCUCCAUGUCCAUUUGUCCAUAUGUUCACGUGUCCCCAUGUCGGUCUGCCCCCAUGUCCCCAUGUCCGUGUGUCCCCAUGUCCGUGUGUCCCCAUGUCUGUGUGUCCGUGUGUCCCCAAUGUCCAUAGGGCCCAUGUCCCCAUGUCUGUGUGUCCCCAUGUCCGUGUGUCCCUGUGUCCCAACGUCCAUUUGUCCGUGUAUCCGUAUGUCUGUGUGUCCCAAUGUCCAUGUGGCCGAUGUCCCCAUGUCCCUGUGUCCCAAUGUCCGUUUGUCCCUGUGUCCGUGUCUCCCAAUGUCCAUAUGGCUGAUGUCCCCGUGUCUGUGUCCCCAUGUCCAUGUGUCCCCCGUCCGUGUGCCCAUGUGUCCCAAUGUCCAUAGGGCCAAUGUCCCCCUGUCCCCGUGUCCCCACGUCUGUGUGUCCCUGUGUCUGUGUCCCAAUGUCCAUAGGGCCGAUGUCCCCAUGUCCGUGUGUCUCUGUGUCCCCAUGUCCUCAUGUUCUCAUGUCCGUGUGUCCCAAUGUCCAUGUCCCCAUGUCCAUUUGUCCAUAUGCCCCCAUGUCCCUGUAUCCGUGUGUCCCUGUGUCCCCAUGGCUGAUGUCCUCAUGUCCCUGUGUCCGUGUGUCCCCAUGUCUGCGUGUCCAUGUAUCCCCAUCUACCUGUGUCCCAAUGUCCAUCUGUCCCACAUCCAUGUCCCCAUGUCAGUGUCUGUGUGUCCCACACCUGUCUGUCCCCAGUUCCCUGUGUCCCCACAUGGGCCGUGUCCAUCUGUCCCUGUGUCCCCAAGUUGUGUCCAUGUGUCCCCAUGUCUGUGUGUCCCAUAUCCCUAUGUCCCACAUCCACAUCUAUCUGUCCUCUUGUCCCUGUGUCCCAUGUCCAUAUGUCUCAUGUCCAUGUGUCUGUCUGUCUGUCUCCAUGUCCAUGUGUCUCUGUCCCCAUGUCCUUAUGCCCACAUCUGUCCAUCUGUCCCCAUGUCCCUAUGUCUGUCUGUCCCUGUGUCUGUCUGUCCCCAUGUCUCUGUGUCUCAUGUCCAUGUGUCUGUCCCCAUGUCCUCAUGUCCCUGUGUCCCAUGUCCAUGUGUCUGUCUCCAUGUCCAUGUGUCUCUCUGUCUGUCCCUGUGUCUGUCUGUCCCCAUGCCCAUGUCUGUCUGUCUGUCUGUCUGUCCCCGUGUCCCUGUGGUGUCCCCCUGGUCCCCACCUUGCUGCCUCCAGACCCUUUGAGGGAUCUCAGG
ensembl:lncRNA